AAAGUCAACCGGAUUUUAUUAAAGCAAUUUCGAAAGGAUCGUAUAAGGACAGUCUUAUACACAUUGUCAUUAUUUGGCGGCGAGAUAAAAAUCGCAUAAAGUACGACUGGGUUAACGUCGGCAAACAGAAUGGCAACAGUUCACCUGAACACUUCAUAAAUUCAACUAAGAACGAAAUUUCCAAUGCAAUUAAGAAGUUAUUAAAAAAUUCAGAAGCUUUAUGUUACGAAGCAUUUGUAGAGAACUUAAUUAACGAACAUUCACAAGGAAUUUUAACUAAAUGGAUUUCUCAGUUCUUAUAUGUUGUCGAUUACCUAUCAGAUAAUAUUGAAGAGGAGCACCUUUUUGCAUUUAUUUCACUUUUAGGAACUUUUGGAUUUAUGUUUGCUGUUGGAUAUGUAUUAAUUUACUUUGUUAAAGUUGAGGAGGAAAAUCUUAAGGCGCAAGGCCAACUUUUCGAUAUACAAGGUCAGCGCCACAACAAUUUGGUUCCGGAACUUAAAUUAUAUGAGCUGAGAGCUGAAAAAUAUAAUGGGAUGGUGCGCCUACUAAAGCCCGGAUGCCGAACCUUACUUCUUAUCAGCGAUUGUCAAAGUCGGCAUAAGCUUAUUCCGUACUUUCACAAGGCUGUUUGGCCGUACAGGAAAUCCAAAACAUUACUAUUUGGGCAUAUGGUUAUUGAAAAAGGUUUGCCUUGGUUUGCUGAAAUUCUUCGUUUAUCAUUAAGUAAAAAUCGACAUUUACAAGUCAAUCCCCGAAAUUGCGUUGGUACUGUUCUGGCAUUAAAUGGUCACCGAAAAUAUUUUUGUAUGUACCAUGCUAAACAUCCAGAGUCCGUUCAGGAA
rnacentral:sRNA from 1 species